UAAGUGGAGAGUUUGAUUCUGGCUCAGGAUGAACGUUGGCGACGUGCUUCAUACAUGCAAGUCGAACGAGAAAGCCCCUUCGGGGGUGAUUAAAGUGGCAUACGGGUGAGUAACGCGUAGGUAAUCUGCCCUGAGGUGGGGAAUAACUGAUCGAAAGAUCAGCUAAUACCGCAUAAUAUCUUCUUAUUUACGCAUAGGAAGAUUAAAGAUUUAUCGCCUUUGGAUGAGCCUGCGUCCGAUUAGCUUGUUGGUAAGGUAAAAGCUUACCAAGGCUGUGAUCGGUAGCUGGUCUGAGAGGAUGACCAGUCACACUGGGACUGAGACACGGCCCAGACUUCUACGGAAGGCAGCAGUAGGGAAUAUUGCACAAUGGGGGAAACCCUGAUGCAGCGACGUCGCGUGAGUGAUGAAGGCUUUCGGGUUGUAAAGCUCUGUUCUUAAGGAACAAAAAAAUGAGUGUACUUAAGAAGAAAGGACCGGCUAAUUUCGUGCCAGCAGCCGCGGUAAUACGAGGGGUUCAAACGUUAUCCGGAAUUAUUGGGCGUAAAGCGGAUGUAGGUGGCUUUGUCAGUCAGAAGUGAAAGCCUCGGGCUUAACCCGAGAAGUGCUUUUGAUACUACAAGGCUUGAGUUAGGGAGAGGAUAGUAGAAUUCCUGGUGUAGUGGUGAAAUACGUAGAUAUCAGGAGGAAUACCGGAGGCGAAGGCGUCUAUCUGGCCCGACACUGACACUCAGAUCCGAAAGCGUGGGGAGCAAACAGGAUUAGAUACCCUGGUAGUCCACGCCGUAAACGAUGGACACUUGGCGUUGAUGAAUUGACCUCAUCAGUGCCGAAGCUAACGCGUUAAGUGUCCCGCCUGGGGAGUACGGUCGCAAGAUUAAAACUCAAAGAAAUUGACGGGGGCCCGCACAAGCGGUGGAGCAUGUGGUUUAAUUCGAUGAUACGCGAAAAACCUUACCUGGGUUUGACAUCUGGAGGAAAACUCUUGGAAACAAGGUUGCCUUUUGGCUUCCAGACAGAUGCUGCAUGGUUGUCGUCAGCUCGUGUCGUGAGAUGUUGGGUUAAGUCCCGCAACGAG
rnacentral:rRNA from 1 species